rnacentral:lncRNA from 1 species
GUUAUGGCACAUACAAAAAUCGAUAUAUUUUUGCUCACUAGGGCAAACGGACAAGACAGCUCCUGGCCAAAGGUGACCAUCCCAGAGACUCCAGCUGCUGGCAUUUUGGCAGCAUCUGAAAAACUCGAAUUGGGCAUUUCUAUGAACUGUAACUUCAC